AUGAACGCUGGCGGCGUGCCUAAUACAUGCAAGUCGAGCGAACGGACGAGAAGCUUGCUUCUCUGAUGUUAGCGGCGGACGGGUGAGUAACACGUGGAUAACCUACCUAUAAGACUGGGAUAACUUCGGGAAACCGUAGCUAAUACCGGAUAAUAUUUUGAACCGCAUGGUUCAAAAGUGAAAGACGGUCUUGCUGUCACUUAUAGAUGGAUCCGCGCUGCAUUAGCUAGUUGGUAAGGUAACGGCUUACCAAGGCAACGAUGCAUAGCCGACCUGAGAGGGUGAUCGGCACCACUGGAACUGAGACACGGUCCAGACUCCUACGGGAGGCAGCAGUAGGGAAUCUUCGGCAAUGGGCGAAAGCCUGACGGAGCAACGCCGCGUGAGUGAUGAAGGUCUUCGGAUCGUAAAACUCUGUUAUUAGGGAAGAACAUAUGUGUAAGUAACUGUGCACAUCUUGACGGUACCUAAUCAGAAAGCCACGGCUAACUACGUG
rnacentral:rRNA from 1 species